AUACGGAGGAUCCUAGUGUUAUCCGGAUUUAUUGGGUUUAAAGGGAGCGUAGGCGGGAGGUCAAGUCAGCUGUGAAAUGUAUCUGCUUAACGGGUACACUGCAGUUGAAACUGGUUUUCUUGAGUGCGUAAGAGGCAGGCGGAAUUCGUUGUGUAGCGGUGAAAUGCUUAGAUAUGACGAGGAACUCCUAUUGCGAAGGCAGCUGGCUGGGUCGUUACUGACGCUGAUGCUCGAAGGUGCGGGGAUCAAACAGGAUUAGAUACCCUGGUAGUCCGCACAGUAAACUAUGGAUACUCUCUGCCGGCGAUAUAUUGUCGGUGGCCAAGCGAAAGCGUUAAGUAUCCCACCUGGGGAGUACGGUCGCAAGAAUGAAACUCAAAUGAAUUGACGGGG
rnacentral:rRNA from 1 species